CAAGAACGAUGGCUUCAUACAUUCUCUGUGCGCUUUGUGGACUGAUCAUUGCGACUAUAGUGAAACUAAACGGAGUGAAUGGGCAAAGUUCCUUGCUCAGAACAUGAGAACAUAUGAAAGCUGGUGGUUCCUUUUAACAUGAGUCAUCAAUAUUCCCAGGCCUAUGCACCAGUAAAGAGUUCUGGAGUUCAGACAUAGACCAAUGUGUAUCCUGCUCAACAUGCAAGCAGUAUCCAAAGACCCCU